rnacentral:lncRNA from 1 species
GAUCUAUGGAUAUCUUGAAUUAUUGUGGCACUGUAGUGUCCCUCCCUGAAUAUAUAGGGUGAUUGGAGGGCGGCCGUGAUUUCUCAGGCCUAUAGCUACGACAAAAUAUUUGAUGUGAGAUGCAUCGUUUGGUACUUUGAUUAUGUUUUCAUAAAAUAUGUAUUGUUGUUUAUAGGAUAAGAGAACGAAUAAUUUUUUUAGAAUGUCAUAUUUAUACAGGUUCUGCAGGUUGAUUUACACCACGUUCGGUAGGCAGGGAAUGAGUUUCUCGAACCGUUCCUUGCCAAGAACGCUUAUACAAUUUGUUCCUGACCAAACUUCUUCGGGAAUCAUUCUUGGCAGGAAUGGCAAGAAACGAACAGACGUUCUGACUAGUAUAAUACCCGUGCUAACACUACGGUAAUAUAUGAUAAUCAAAAUAAAAUAAUAAAAAAAUGAUUUACCUACAUAAUACUUAGUUUGAAAAGACAUGGAUCCAAUAUAACAAUAGAAACACCCACCUCUUUGCCAAAGAGAGCUUUAUUAUCACAGAUUCAACAUUAUCAUUACAAAAUAAGUCUCCUGCCACAAAACCGGAAACAAUACUCAGUCUUUGACAUGCCAUAUUGGCAAAACAUGCA